rnacentral:rRNA from 1 species
UACGGGGGGGGGCAAGCGUUUGUUCGGAAUUACUGGGCGUAAAGGGUUUGUAGGUGGCUUGUUAAGUCAGACGUGAAAUCCCUCAGCUUAACUGGGGAACUGCGUCUGAGACUGGUGAGCUUGAGUGCAGGAGAGGAACGCGGAAUUCCAGGUGUAGCGGUGAAAUGCGUAGAUAUCUGGAGGAACACCGGUGGCGAAGGCGGCAUCCUGGACCAACACUGACGCUGAGUGAGCGAAAGCCAGGGGAGCAAACGGG